rnacentral:rRNA from 1 species
AAUAGAUACCCCGGUAGUCCACGCCGUAAACGAUGAGUGCUAAGCGUUAGAGGGUUUCCGCCCUUUAGUGCUGAAGUUAACGCAUUAAGCACUCCGCCUGGGGAGUACGGCCGCAAGGCUGAAACUCAAAGGAAUUGACGGGGGCCCGCACAAGCGGUGGAGCAUGUGGUUUAAUUCGAAGCAACGCGAAGAACCUUACCAGGUCUUGACAUCCUCUGACAACCCUAGAGAUAGGGCUUCUCCUUCGGGAGCAGAGUGACAGGUGGUGCAUGGUUGUCGUCAGCUCGUGUCGUGAGAUGUUGGGUUAAGUCCCGCAACGAGCGCAACCCUUGAUCUUAGUUGCCAUCAUUCAGUUGGGCACUCUAAGGUGACUGCCGGUGACAAACCGGAGGAAGGUGGGGAUGACGUCAAAUCAUCAUGCCCCUUAUGACCUGGGCUACACACGUGCUACAAUGGACGGUACAAAGAGCUGCAAGACCGCGAGGUGGAGCUAAUCUCAUAAAACCGUUCUCAGUUCGGA